GAACUAUGCUUUGCUUGACCGCAGGAAGUUUUUAUGAUGGGUAGGCGAACGAAGAGCAGGCGUCACGUCCCUCGCGCAAGUAUCGUUUCGUCUCAGACGCGCUCUCGACGUCAGUGUGGCCUACCGUUACUGUCAUGAAAAGUGUCCCAAAAAAGCAGGGGUAAGAACGAAGAUCACUUUCCUCUGUGCCAUAUUUCCACGAGACUGAACGCUGAAUUGAGACGAAUAUGUGUGUAACCCGCUCCGUCGUUUCAGUGUCACACUAGAAAAAGCCGGAUCGCCUCGCUGCGUCUUGUUCCUUCUACGCGCUCAGUCAACGGGGAUCGUCAGAAAAACCACGUCAUCCUAUUCUACACCCUUGCAUCCUGCUUGCUUCGACAUUUUCUGCUUUGUUGGUGUGUCGCUGGAAGUUUGAGGCAUCCAAAACUGUACAGUAAAGUCUGCAUAACCGGUGUGGCGCGUGGGUUUGCUUGAUGGAAACCAUCGUAAGCAGUCGAGGUGUGUGUAGUUUAUGAAUCAAGCUUGAGGGUUAAUGGGCGGGGGUUCUGUGCAUGCCAACAAAGGGUCUAUAUUUACCGGUUUGUGUGUGUAUAUUAAGGUUACUUUCGUCUUCGGGCAGGUAUUUCUUGAAUGCAAGCGUAAUUGGAUACCAGAACACAGUCUCCGAGAAACAGCCACAAAAAAGCGAGGCGGCACGUGACGCUAUGGUUUUGCCGGCACCCGGU
rnacentral:lncRNA from 1 species